ensembl:lncRNA
ACGCACAUCAUCAUAACAACCUCACUCAAACCAAUACAGCUCAAACCAACUCAACUCAAACCAACUCAACUCACAUCAUCAUAACAACUUAACUCAGACCAACACAACUCAACUCACAUCAUCAUAACAACUCAACUCAAACCAACUCAACUCACAUCAUCAUAACAACCUCACUCAAACCAACUCAACUCAACUCAACUCACAUCAACAUAACAACUCAACUCAAACCAACAAAACUCACAUAAUCAUAACUCAACAGUUCUACUCGCCAACUCUAACAAACAGCUCAACUCCACAACAUAACAAUGAUUCAUCCUCUCAACCAACAGCACAACAACUCAACUCACAACUAUUCGACCCAUCGGAUCAACUCUAGUACAUUGGACCAUCAGGCAGUGCUUCACGUUUGGGUGGAUAAUGGUGGAUUGAUCUGGCUGUAGUAAUUCUACCCCUAGAGAACAUGAUGGUGGAGAGAGUAUUACUGUUAUUUCUUUCCUGUUUGUCUUGUUAAGGUUUUCUGACUUUUCACUGGGCAUAUUCUACUGAGUCAGCUCUGUUCAAGCCUGUUUAAGUUGCUUUGAAGGAUAAAAAGAGUGCGCAUGUGUGUGUGUGCACACUUGUCUUAAACGGAGGACAUUCUCCCUCAGCAAAACGUCUCACUUUUCCCACAUCCGUUCUUUUUCUCAUUCGAUACAAUGCCAUAUUGAUCUUCUGCGUCUAAUAAACGACGACCUGAAUACACCGGUCCAAUGUCCAGACUCAUCUUUUUUGCCAAAUUUCUGACACGUUAGACAGCGAACCAAACCAGGUAACAAAUCAUCAUGUGACAACCGACCGACUCGGAAAGGGACCAAACAGAAUCCAGAGCCAGGACGCUAAGGACAGCAGGCGCUGUAUAACAUUGUCUUCCAGAUCAACCAGUUCAUUUUUCAUUCUAUGCCUAAAUAAGGAAGUGACAGAGUAUGGGUUGUAAAAAGUCAGCUUUGGUUAAGGAGGCGUGGCCUCUGUGCCCGUAAGUGUCCCAUCAGAUCAUCGAUCAAGUUCCGCAUCAAAUCAUCUGGGAAAGCGACAUGCACCGCUAGAACAGAGUGUUCUCCGUGCUGCUCAUUUGCAUUCAGUCUGACUAUUUAUAUCUGCCGGAAUUACACAAGUCAAAACAAAGUAUUCACACACACUGCUGUGCUUUUUCCCAACUUACUAAGACUCCCUCACAGAGAAAACAUCACAAAAAAAAGAUGGUGGUCCAUCUGCAAGAUUCAGAUUAGUGGGCGUGUCUUGGUACCCGUGUAUGAACCCGAAGACACGCCUUUUCUAUGUUUCUGAGCAGGUCAAAUAAAUCCGUCAGUAUGAUAAGGUUUUCUCCUGUCAUUAACAAUAUUUGUGAAAAUACCUGACUAUUUCCACACCCGAGCUCAGAGACACACCUCACGUUCCCAUAUAUGGUCUCGGACAAUCCCACAUUUCCAUACAAGAACUCAAUAGACACACUCAAAUCUCCACAGGUGAACUGAGAGAUGAGCCAAUCCAUGUUUGAUUCCUAAGACACGCCCAUAUUUUCCAUAUAUGGUCUUCAAAUCACACCCAUCGAAGACGCUUCCAUUUCAAUAUAUGAGUUCCGAGACAUGUCUAUAUUAGCAUGUAUGGACUCACAUUCCUGCUUAUACGUCCAUGUCGGAUUUAAGUCUCCUCUAUUUUCAUAUAUAGACACAGAGUUUCAGAUAUUCCGCCAUAUAUGGACACAGUCUCAACAAAUAUACAUAUAUGGAUUCGGGUCCUGCCUAUAGUGCCAUAUAUGGACAUAAGCUCACCUAUAUUGAAGUAUAUAUAGACUCAAAGUUUCAGCUAUACUUCCAUAAAUGGACGCAACGUCCAGCAAUAUUUCCAAAUCUGCACUCCAGUCUCAAUUCUACUUCUAUAUAUGGACUCGAGUCCCACCUGGAUUUCCAUAUUCCGACACAGUCACACCUACAUUGAAGUAUAUGGACUCUAAGGUUCAGCUAUACUUCCAUAUUUGGACGCCAUCCUAUAUUUCCAUAUCUCAACUCUAGUCCCACUUCUACUUCCACAUAUGGACUCAUGUCCCGCCGGUAUUUCCAUAUAUGGACACAUAAAUGGAACUAUAUAGACUCAAGAUUCCAUACUUCCUAUAUACUAUAUAUAUAUGGACUAAAUAUGGAUUAAAGUCCCGCCUCAAUUUCCAUAUCUGGACUCCAAUGAUCAGCUAUAUUUCCCUAUAUGGCCUCAAAGCCCCGCCCAUAUUUCCGUAUAUGUACUCCUUUUUCUCUGAACGCCUAGAUGUCAAACUCUAAUUUUGUGCUCUAAACAUGAAGCUCCUCCCACAUUACCAUAAAACCCCGCCCACUCCGCUGACCUCCGAGCCGGCCGUUAUGAGAGGAAGGAGAAUGUUUGGCCUGUGCUGAUGGUGACAGACCACGCAGCUGGCAUGUAUGCGUCUGUGUGUGUGUGUGUGUGUGUGUGUGUGUGUGUGUGCGUGCGCUGAAAGUGCGAUGGUGCCGGGAGUGGGAGUGUGAACGAGUGGGAGUGUGACAGCUCGUGCAUGCCUGUUAAGCGUGUGUGUGUUGGCAAGUUGUGUUCUGUUUGAUUAGCCAAUGAUAGGGGAUGAAAGCCAGAUCAUCAAGAGGAGUUUGAUCAGCUGCGGAGAACACACACACUAUCAUCCACGCUGACACACACACACACACACACACACACACACACCAUCAUCUACUCUGACAUACGCACCGUCAUCCAUGAUGUGACUGUGACGAGAAAAAGAACUCGGGUUAAUGAAAGACCGAUUACUCAGUCUAAUUAUCCAUUCUCUCUCUCUCUCUCUCUGUAUAUCUAUCUGUUAUGUCUUUUACUUUAUCUCUCUCUCUCUCUCUCUCUCUCUCUCUCUCUCUCUCACUCUGUGACCUUGUGCUGUCAGCUGUUUUAACAAGGCUUAAACGAACACACCAGUUGUGUGUACAUGGGGUGUGCACUGCCCAUGUAGCAUGAGCUAUGAUAUGAUACGCUGGUACAUGCCAACACACACACACACACACACACACACACACACACACACACACACACACAAUUUCAGCGAAAUCAAUAUUUUUUUAUUGAGGAAUCCAUUAUGUCAAGAACUCUUGACGUGCACCUGAAAGGAAAGCAAGUGAAAGCAUCGGAGCGUCUCCGGGUUCCCGCAGUCCGCUUUCCCAUGAACCCUCACUGCGUCGCGAGAAUGCGGCAGUCAUAAUUUCAUCUACAGCCUCAAGUACAACCCUGAUGUCACUAUUACAACUCAAAAUGUAAUUAAAGAUCUAUAAUGAGCAAUUUGUGUAAUCUGGUCACCCAAGGAAAGCGUUAAAAACAGCUCGCCCCACUCACACACCACCUACGCCUUUGUUUGGCGUCUUGUUUUUUGCUGAAAAACCUCCUUCCUGCGAGCCUUUGAGAAGUUUAAUCACCUCUCCUUCUUUCUCUCUCUCUCUCUCCCUCUCCCUCCUUCUCUCUCUCCCCCUCUCCCGCCUUCUCUCGCUCUCCCUUCUCUCUCCCCACCGCUGUGCCGCGGAGUCGUGUUGGCGUGACGGGGUGGAAAAGGUCACUCCUGUUUCUUCGUUUUCGGGGCAAGUGGAGCGAGGGAAGAGGAGGAGCGAGGAGGAGGGCAGAAGCAGGUAGAGGCCUCUCUGCACUCGUCCGCUGUUCUGUCGGUUCUGUGGACCGAGCGCUAAUGGGGCGUCACGCUGAGCUGGCGCAGAGCACGCCUGCUGCUGCUGCUGUACAUUAUGGGAAACACACCUUCACACACACACACACACACACACACACAGAGAGAGAGAGAAGGCCGAUCGAUGCAGUAAGAGAUGCGGAAUUGCGCGCGUGUGUGUGCGUGUGUGAGAGGAAAAAACAGAGCCAACAGCAACACAAAGACAAAUUUGAUAUUUUUUUUAUGAUCCACUCGACACAAUUACACCACAGGAGCAUUUUCUCCAUUCUCAUGAUGUGUGUGUGUGUGUGUGUGUGACCCCAGUGCACGAUGUGUGAUGAAAUAUCAAAUCUCCACAAAGAUAUACACACGGUGUAAGACAAGAACAAUACAACAAAUUACACAACACACACACACACACACACACACACACACACACACACGCUCCAGAAGCGAAGAUGUACUCAUGGGAAAUAUUCGAUAGUCGUUUACUACUCAGGUGGCCGAUCAAUUCUCAAAAUAAUUAUGACAGACAAGUUAAUCUGCAGGAUUUCUACAAUCUCAACGGUACUCUUUCACUUCCUGUGGUUCCUGCUUCUCUACACAGACUCCGCCCACUAAAAAAAACUCGUGUAAUAUUCCUUUUCAGCCAGUUUUGUGAUAGCUCCGCCCAUCGGAACCUUUACACUUUCCCCGUUAACCCUUCGCCUAACCGAACCCUAGGUGAAAUAAAUUCCAUUCUAAUUUGGAGAUAUCGUUUCAGAUUGUCAGCCUCCUCAGCCAAUCAGAUUCGCCUCGUAUCUGGCCUCCAUUUACGCAAGCGCGCGUUUUACAUACGGGACGUCUGAGUCGGGGAGAUUAAAAAAAUAAAGUCAGAACUCGGCAAUUAAUCAUCGUUUGGUUGGAUAUAGUGAUACGGUGGGGUAGACAAAGAGCAUAUGGAGAGUGAGACCGUCAGAGUGAGGCAAAGAGUGAGACAGAAAGAGUGAAACAGAUACAGUGAGGUAGACAAAGAGCAUACGGAGAGUGAGGCAAAGAGUGAGACAGAAAAAAGUGAAACAGGUACAGUGAGGUAGAUAAAGAGCAUACAGAGAGUGAGACAGUCAGAGUGAGGCAAAGAGUGAGACAGAGUGAAACAGAUACAGUGAGGUAGAAAAAGAGCAUACAGAGAGUGAGACAGUCAGAAUGAGGCAAAGAGUGAGACAGAAAAAAGUGAAACAGAUACAUUGAGGUAGAAAAAGAGCAUACAGAGAGUGAGACAGUCAGAGUGAGACAGUCAGAGUGAGACAGGAAAAAGUGAAACAGGUACAGUGAGGUAGAAAAAGAGCAUACAGAGAGUGAGACAGUCAGAGUGAGACAGUCAGAGAGAGACGGGAAAAAGUGAAACAGGUACAGUGAGGUAGACGAAGAGCACACAGAGAGUCACAUAUGGACCGGUUUCACUGAUCGACACGGACGUAUUUCAUGAAUCUGCUCUGUAUUCAUCGUGUUUCUCAGGUCUAAGACCGUGAAGAUCGGACUUGCGUUCUCGUGAAGUCUGUGAAGAACCGGUCUUGCCCGGCUACCUUGGAAGAACGACCUUCACGCAUCUUUGCGAGAACUGAGAUGUGCUGCGCGCUUCCUGCUGCGCGGUGCACCGUCCCAGCACAUCUCUCGUAGAGGGACAGGACCGUCGUCUCUUCAUUGCUGCCGGAGUAAUAUGUUUCAGCCGCUUAACAGAUUCGCUCUUACACGGCUGAUUAACCGGAAGUUAAUUAAGACCAGUUUAAUGUAGUAAGCUCGCUGCGACCUCACGUUAACUAAAAACGAAGCUGAGGAGUUUCCCGUCUCCUCAGGGUGGACGCUAGCGUUGAUUAAUUCAAAUAUUUCGGAGAGAUAGAUUCCACUUUUCAACCAGCUCAUAUAUAUCUCAAUCUAAAUCUUAUCUCACAUGCGUUCUUUUACGAUGCAUCUUUGGAUUAUUGUCUGUAAAGAGACGUUAAAAGUGUCAUGUGACCGCCGCUUUCGUCACGGGGCAGGCUUCAGAGAGAGAGAGAGAGAGAGAGAGAGAGAGAGAGAGAGAGAGACGGAGGGUUCGAUAUAGUGAGGUAGACAAAGAGCAUCUAGAGAGUGAGACAGAAAAAGCGUGAGCUGGAUAGUGAGACAUAGAAAGAGAGUAAGGCAAAGAGUGAGACAGACAAAGAAUGAGACAGAAUGUGAGACAGACAAAGAAUGAGACAGAGAGUGAGACAGACAAAGAGCAUCUAGAGAGUGAGACAGAAAAAGAAUGAGCUGGAUAGUGAGACAUAGAAAGAGAGUAAGGCAAAGAGUGAGACAGACAAAGAAUGAGACAGAAUGUGAGACAGACAAAGAAUGAGACAGAGAGUGAGACAGACAAAGAGCAUCCAGAGAGUGAGACAGAAAAAGAAUGAGCUGGAUAGUGAGACAUAGAAAGAGAGUAAGGCAAAGAGUGAGACAGACAAAGAAUGAGACAGAGAGUGAGACAGACAAAAGAGCAUAUAGAGAGUGAGACGGAUAGUAAGACAGAGAGAGUGAGACAAAGACUGAGAGAGAAAAAAGUGAAACAUAUAGUGAGGUAGACAAAGAGCGUAUAGAGGGCGAGACAGAAAAACAGUGAGCUGGAUAAUAGACAGAGACAGAGAGACAGAGAGUGAGACAGACAAAGCACAUAGAGAGUGAGACGGAUAGAGAGAGAGAUGCAAAGAGUGAGAUAGGGAGUGAGACAGGCAAAGAAUGAGACUAAGUAUGAGGCAGAAAAGGAGCAAGAUAGAGUGAGGCAAAGAGUGAGACAGGUAUAUAUAUAGAGACAGAUGCAAAGAGUGAGACAGGGAGUGAGACGAAGUGUGAGGUAGAAAAAGAGUGAGACAAAGAAUGUGAGAGAGUGAGGUACAGCGUGAGGCACAAAAAAAAGAGAGCGGCAGAGAGUGAGACCAAAAGAGUGCAGUAGAGUGAGGCAGAAAGAGUGAGACAGAGAGCGAGACAGAAAAAAACCCUCUUUCUCUCAUCCUCGCUAACUAGCGUUUAACUGAGCAGCUAGCGUAUCAUUUACCUCCUGCCUGCUCACACGGAUGCACGUGUGCAGGUGUUUCACACGCCACACACUCAAUCUAAUCCAUUACACGACAAGAUAAACAACUUUAAACCUUCAACGGAAACAAGACCUCAGCUACGCUAAGCUAGCUGUCUUCAUCCGUGUCUGAGAGAAACUGAAGAAGACGCGCUUUUGGCUAAUGUGAGCGAGUGGUGCGGUGGAGUGUAAUCUAACGCAACGCCUCAUAAUCCGGUCAUCGGGGUUCAAAUCUAGACGACGCCUCUGUGUUGCUUCCACGCAUUUCCUUCACACCUCCAUUUACCUUCCUAAGGUUGAAGAAAAGCAUGUUGCGAGCACAUAAUCUAGUUGUGUUAGUCUAAAAAUUACCGGGCUAAUUUAAGAGCCAUUACAGCAAUAUACUAUAAUCUACUCCACUUUUACAGCCAUUAUGGAUCCAGUGUCUUAUUUCUAAACCGGUGUCUAUGAGCUUCCCUCGCUCGUUAGCCUGUACACGCCAGUCUAAAGACGUGAGAGCAAACAUCUGGCAUCGAGCUUGUACCUGUUCUUAAAUAUCAGACGAGUGGAUUAUGUUACACACGCUGCGUUAAAGUUAAGUCGAUUCAAUUUCCUGUCUAGUCCAGCCUUCAUCGUCAUUACUGUCCUCGUCGUCAUCAUCAUCAGCGUUAUCGUCAGAGAGAGAGAGAGACAGACAGAGAGAGACAGACAGAG